rnacentral:rRNA from 1 species
GAUGAACGCUAGCUACAGGCUUAACACAUGCAAGUCGCGGGGCAGCAUGGGGGUUGCUUGCAAUCCCCGAUGGCGACCGGCGCACGGGUGAGUAACGCGUAUCCAACCUGCCCUUCACCACGGGAUAACCCGGCGAAAGUCGGACUAAUACCGUAUGUUGUCCAUUGAUGGCAUCCGAUUUGGACGAAAGGCUUGGCGGUGAGGGAUGGGGAUGCGUCCGAUUAGCCAGACGGCGGGGUAACGGCCCACCGUGGCUACGAUCGGUAGGGGUUCUGAGAGGAAGGUCCCCCACACUGGAACUGAGACACGGUCCAGACUCCUACGGGAGGCAGCAGUGAGGAAUAUUGGUCAAUGGGCAUAAGCCUGAACCAGCCAAGUAGCGUGCAGGAUGACGGCCCUAUGGGUUGUAAACUGCUUUUAUGCGGGGAUAAAGUGGCCCACGUGUGGGCUUUUGCAGGUACCGCAUGAAUAAGGACCGGCUAAUUCCGUG